rnacentral:rRNA from 1 species
UACAGAGGGGGCAAGCGUUGUUCGGAAUUACUGGGCGUAAAGGGCGCGUAGGUGGCCUGUUAAGUCGGACGUGAAAUCCCUGGGCUCAACCCAGGAACUGCGUCCGAUACUGGCAGGCUUGAAUCCGGGAGAGGGAUGCGGAAUUCCAGGUGUAGCGGUGAAAUGCGUAGAUAUCUGGAGGAACACCGGUGGCGAAGGCGGCAUCCUGGACCGGCAUUGACACUGAGGCGCGAAAGCCAGGGGAGCAAACGGG